rnacentral:tRNA from 1 species
GGAUAUAGCUCAGUUGGUAGAGUGCUUGCUUUGCAUGCACAAGGUCCUGGGUUUGAUCCCCAGCACCA